GCGGGCGGAGGAGGAAGUGUCAUGGCGUCGGGCCGUGGAGCUUCUUCUCGCUGGUUCUUUACUCGAGAACAGCUGGAGAACACGCCUAGCCGCCGCUGCGGAGUGGAAGCGGAUGAAGAGCUGUCGCAUCGCCAGCAGGCGGCCAACCUCAUCCAGGACAUGGGGCAACGUCUCAAUGUCUCUCAGCUUACAAUAAACACUGCGAUUGUUUAUAUGCACAGGUUUUAUAUGCACCAUUCUUUCACCAAAUUCAACAGAAAUAUAAUAUCACCUACUGCAUUGUUUUUGGCUGCAAAAGUGGAAGAACAGGCUCGAAAGCUUGAACAUGUUAUCAAAGUAGCACACGCUUGUCUGCAUCCCUUAGAGCCACUGCUGGAUACAAAAUGUGAUGCUUAUCUUCAGCAGACUCAAGAACUGGUUUUACUUGAAACCAUAAUGCUACAAACACUGGGUUUUGAGAUCACCAUUGAACACCCACACACAGAUGUGGUGAAAUGCACCCAGUUAGUAAGAGCAAGCAAGGAUUUGGCACAGACAUCCUAUUUCAUGGCUACCAACAGGUUGUUAUCCUGACCCUCUUUGUUGCACUGUUGUAGCACACUAUAGCUUCCUUUAAUGCAGGGCCCCCUCAACGUGUCUCUUGCCCUUGUUGCAACAGGAGACUGGACCAUCUACUGUGGUGGUACCUUCCUGGUUGCUUUGCGGUGUAUUGUACAAGGGACUUUGGGCACAGAGGGGUUAAAUGCACACUGUGAAGUGUAGUGGUGCUUUCUGGUGGCAUAUUCUCGAUUUGUGAGUGCAUAAGUCUAAACUUGGUAGCCUGAAUAGCAGCUAAAGAUUACACAGAGCUAAACUUAACCUAGAAACUUGUUUGCAUCUUACGACCUUCUGUCUUCAGUACAAACCCACAGUGAUAGCAUGUGUAUGCAUUCAUUUGGCUUGCAAAUGGUCCAAUUGGGAGAUUCCUGUGUCAACUGAUGGAAAGCACUGGUGGGAGUAUGUGGACCCUACAGUCACCCUAGAGCUGCUAGACGAGCUAACACAUGAGUUUCUACAAAUAUUGGAGAAAACGCCUAGUAGGUUGAAGAGGAUUCGAAACUGGAGGGCUAUGGCUAAGAAACCAAAAGUAGAUGGACAAGUGUCAGAGACACCACUGCUUGGUUCAUCUUUGGUCCAGAAUUCCAUUUUAGUAGAUAGUGUCACUGGUGUACCUGCCAACCCAAGCUUUCAGAAACCAUCAACAUCAACGUUCCCUGCUCCAAUACCUCUAAAUUCAGGAAAUACUUCUGUUCAAGAUAGCCGGGCAUCUGAUAAUUUAUCAGUGCUAGCAGCAGGAAUGCCCAGUACCUCAUACAGUUUGUCAUCACACCAAGAGUGGCCUCAGCAUCCAGAUUCAGCCAGGACAGACCCAGUGUACACACAGAAACAGGAGGCCACUCUCUCUGGGAGCCAGUACCUAAGCUUCCAGCAGGGACCUUCAAUGGCACUGCAUUCUGGAUUACAUCACAGGCCGGACAAAGUUGCUGAUCACUCGUCUGCGAAGCAAGAAUAUGCUCACAAAGCUGGGAGCAGUAAACACCAUGGUCCCAUACCUGCUACUCCUGGAGUGGUUCCUCAGAAAAUGUCUUUAGAUAAGUACAGAGAAAAGCGGAAGCUGGAAACCCUUGACCUGGAUACAAGGGAUCACUAUAUAGCUGCCCAUGCAGAGCAGCAGCACAAACAUGGGCCAGCACAGGCAGUCGCAGGCACUUCUGUCACUUCUCCCAUCAAAAUGAAGCUUCCCCUCAGCAACUCCGACAAGCCUGAGAAACACUUGGCAGAGAAAAAGGAGAGGAGUGGAUCACUGAAGCUACGGAUUCCCAUCCCACCCCCUGAUAAAGGUCCCAGCAAAGAGGAGCUGAAGAUGAAAAUCAAAGUGUCAUCCUCUGAAAGGCACAGCUCUUCUGAUGAAGGCAGUGGGAAGAGUAAGCACUCGAGCCCACACAUCAGCAGAGACCACAAGGAUAAGCACAAGGAGCACCCUGCCAACCGCCACCACAGCAGCCACAAGCACUUGCACAUGCACAGCGGAGGCAGUAAGCAUGCUGCUGAUGGGAUGCCUCCCACUGUGCUCAGGAGUCCUGUGGGCCUGGGCCCUGAAGGCAUCUCCUCCGCCUCCAGUGCAAGGAAGAAGCUGCAUAGCAACGAUGCCUCCCACAACCACCACUCCAAAAUGAGCAAAAGUUCCAAAAGUUCAGGUAGUUCAUCUAGUUCUUCCUCUGUUAAGCAGUAUCUGUCCUCUCACAGCUCUGUUUUUAACCAUCCCUUACCCCCUCCUCCCCCUGUCACAUACCAGGUGGGCUACGGACAUCUCAGCACCCUCGUGAAAUUGGACAAGAAACCAGUGGAGCCCCACGGUCCUGAGGCCAAUCACGAGUACAGUACAAGCAGCCAGCAUAUGGACUACAAAGACACAUUCGACAUGCUGGACUCGCUGCUAAGUGCCCAAGGAAUGAAUAUGUAACCCUUUGUUUAGGUCAACUUUUCCUUUCCUUUUUAAUUUAACAAUGGUUGGAAUGGAAAACGCCCUCCUGGUCCAGCGGUGGUGCCACUGCUUCCAUAUUUGUAAGUGCUGCUUUGUUCUUCAUUCUGAAAGAAGAGAUGAUAGUAAACAAGCCUCUCUCCACAUACGAUAGUGUUACCAGGACUGUAAACGCAUGGAAGAUGCAGCUGAGAACAUUAGGAUGAAUGGCUGGCUGCUGCUAGGAACCUAAGCUGCCUCAAGCUUCUGUUAUUUAUGAUUUGAAUAUUGUAGCUGUUUUUUGUUGUUGCUUGGCUUUGAAUGAGUGUCAAUUGUUUUCUUUUGUGUAUUUAUACUUGUAUGUAUGGUUUGCAUGUCUCAGUGAUAAAGGGAUAAAACAGUAUACUGACAACUGUUUACAAGAAAGUGGAGAAAAAUGUACAUACAUUUUUGUAUGUUUAGAUAUUACCAUAAAUACUCAGGAUUGGAGCUGCUUGUAAGUAUAACAAUAUACAGAAUAACUUUAUUUUCUCUCGUCAGAGCCCAUCACUAAUCUAAAACACAAGUGGCACUUUUUUAUGUUAACCUUAAACUCUAGGCCUUACUGGAAGCCGCUGAGGGGACACUUCACUACUAGACGGAGAUGUGGUGCCAUGGGCGGUCCUUCACACUGGGAAGCACUCAGUCUGCCUUCAGAGGUUCUGACCAGAUUGGCUGCAGAAUCGGCCAUUGAUUUCUGAAGGCUUGAAGAGGAAAAAAAUACAAAGUUUACAUACUCUUGAUGUGAAGUGCAUUUAAAUGUUUGUUGGCUUGUUGCAGUGCUGUAGAAAGCAGCUAAUAAUGGGUGUGGAGAUGACUGUGACUUCGCUCCCAGCAGCUCCCAGUGAAGAUUAGUCCAUUCUUCAGGAACACUGACACUACAGAUUCUAAGAGUGUACAGGGGUCACUUUUCCUUUAGCAUUUGCAGUGACACCACAGUCUUGAAUAUACUCUUCCAAUGGAGAGUGUGUAUGUGUGUGUGUGAGAGAGAGAGUGUGUGUGUGUGUGUGAAUGUGUGUGUGAGGGAGAGAUACCAUAUUUCCUUUUCAGGUAAAUGCAGUCUUCCUUAUAAAAAUGAAAUUAAACCUAUGCUCUCUUGAUUCUUUUAUAUUCUAACAAUAAAUAAAAACGAAAAGUUUGCUGACUGUGCAUUGUACCUGUAUUUAUAGCUUAUGGUCAUUAUCAGGAAAAUAUAAGGAAAAAGGCCAGCCUCAGGCAAGCCACUGCUGGGGGUUUUACAUUCGUUUGCACGUCUUAGUAGGUUCUCAUUGAGGUAAUGCUUGCACUGUCACCUGACGCCUGGUCAGGGGAUAGACUGACUUGUCUAAAUUUUGGUGUAAGCACCAAUAGUAUGGCUCUUGUCUCUUGCGUAAUCUUGAAUUUAUUUCUGUGGUCUUAGUUGUUGAGUCUCUUAAGAUGGGUCGGAUUCAACUUGUAUUGAAUCACAAGUUUUCCUCUGUAUAUGAAAUGUUUUGUUAUAAAGCCACUGAUCUGUGCACAAUUGUAAUUUUAUUCAAGUAUGUUGUGGUUGUAAAUAUUAGAGUUGAGCCUUGUACUCUACUUUUAUUUAGCAGUUAUCUCAUUUGCCAGUAGCUAUUUGUUUGUUUUCGUUUUAAAGAAAAUUGUUGAUUAUUUUGUCAAUGUAAUUUGAACCUGAGAUGUCAGGAGCUUCUUUGUGGGAACUCAGCUAGUCCUCACUCUCUUCUUGUCUUUGUUACUAUGUGAUUUUUGUUGCUGUGUGGUAUACUAUUGUAUCAUAAACAUGAUGAUUUUGAUACAGUUAGUUUUACCGGGGUACAUUUCCAAGAACUAGCAUAGAGUUUAAACAGAGUACAAGGUGAGGGAGGGAAGGGUUUUGUUCUUGGUGAUUUAGAUGUGAAACCUCAACAGAGCAUCAUGUGAACUGACAUGAGGUGGUCGUGCUACUGUAUCAUUGGGAGUGAUGCCAGGAAUUUUAAUCAGCUUUUGUAAAGAGUAUCCAGAGAUGGAGUGAACUUAUUUUCAGUAUGACAUAGAAAACAAUGUGAAUAUUUAAGGUCUGGGACUAUAGUUAAACUUCACUAAGGACUUUCAGAAAUGUGUUGUUUUUCGUUUGUUUUUGUUUUUUGUUGUUUUGGUUUUUUUAGAUAUGGGAAUAAAGGUAAUUUUGUUGACUCUUCAUUGGUGCUAAUGAUGGGUAGUUAAACAGAUAGUGUAUACGCUGUGGAUAAGUACACCUAGUACUUCCAGAAUUGACUUUGAAAUGCUAUGUACUCACUUUUCACUCUGUAAAUGUAAUUCUUUACGAUGACUAUUUAUUAAAAGGCAGUCAGUUGUGAUUUUUACAGGAUUGUGUGAACUAUUCAAGCUCUUCAACCUCAGAACAAGAUGCUAAAACCACAAUGGGGGAAAAUUCAUGACUCCUUGUUUCCUUUCCCUUAAGGAAAACCCUCAUAAUUCAUAUCACCAUGAAUUUGCUUGAACUAUCUUGUUUGCAUAACAUAGUUCAUUUGCAUGGUCCCAUUAGACUACCAAAGAAAAAAGACUCAAUAAAUGGACAUUCUAUUGUGAGUCUUGUAAGUAGCCAUAAAUAACCAAAAUAGUAUCAAACUUAGGUGUGAAAUUUCACAUGUGCGUAGUACUGUUAAGGUGAUAGAUUUUUUGAUGAGUUUUUUAAUACUUGAAAAUAGUUAAAAAGCAUUAUCUUUACAUCAUCCUAUAAAAGAGUGAUUCAUUCUUAAGGUGUGUUUCCCUAGGUUUGUGACCUUUUUGCAAAAGCACAUUGUAAUCGGAGGCUUCCUGUCUACCUCUCUCAGCUCAUUUUCUAAAGUCAAAAUGUGCUUCCUAAAUAUUUGCCUUAGCUACAAACACAAGCAGUCUUCAGAACCAAAGCAACGCAGUGUUUGUUUGCAGGAGCCUUCUUGGAGGCCUGUAUUACAAGCUCGGUGCCAGUGCCCACUGGUGGAUAAGGCUCCACAUGUCUCCUGGUAGCAAGUAGCAGUGAAGGCAACAGUCAGUGUCAGUCCGGGCUCUACUUUAAAGCAUACUGAGUACUAGUGUUAGAGUGUUCAGCUUUGAAGAUGUCUUUCGUGGUAUUGGGUGGUUUCUUUAGGAAUGUCAUAAGUACACACUUUGUGCCAACAGAUAGUAAUUAUACAGAACUCCCAGACAUUUGGACCUAACUGUUCCUUUGGAGUAAAAAUAGAACAGGUUAGGAUUUACUUUAGACAACCAGUUUAAAAUCUUGUCAUUGGUUACCAAAUACCUUGCCUUAAGAUAAUUCAAAAAAGUAUAUUUUCUUAGAAUUUUAAUUCUGAUUUUAUUUGCAUUAUAUAAGCCACUGCCUAUAUAAUGCAUGAGUGGAAUUUGAUUUGUUGGUUGGAUGACUUAAGGCUCCUGCAUUAUGGAGAUGGCUUAUUUUGAUAACUUCUCAGAAAGAGAAAAGUCUCUGGGAUCUUUGAGAUGAGACAGUCUUGCUCUAUAACAAGGAAAAGGGCUGACUGUCAUCCAUUCUCCUGCCUCUCCACCCAUGCCUGGAUUAAAUCUUACAGAAGCAAAAAAGUACUUCAAACUUAGACUUAAUUUGCCAGAAGAUUCUGGGGAUUUUUUGAUUUUUUUUUUUUUUUUUCUGAGAGAAAAAUCUGGAAGCUUUUAGUAACUAAGGACCUUUGACUUCCUAUCUCUAGAUUCAGCGUCCGUGUCCCCCCCAUCCUUUCCCAGGAGGCAGUAGGAUCCACUCACCACAUUUUCACAGGGGAAGAGGCCACAAAGCCCACACUAGGAGACCAGGAGUUGAGAUUGGGUUUAAUUCUGUGCCUGUUGGUUUAAGGUAGGUGGGUUGAAACAUGUGUACUGACUAAAGGCAGAAUACAUUCCUUUUUUUCCCUCAGUACUUGGUGUUGAGAUGAGGGUGUACAGGCACAGCUGUAGUACAGGCCAGCAGACGGUUGGAAGGCAGCUUUGGCCUAGACAGAAGCCAAGUCAGACAGAUGCUCGUUGUGAACUUGUUAGUCGGCGGUCUUGGUACUACAUGCUCUAAGUAUGUUCCAUUAUUUCAGUUUUUGAAGUGUGCCCGGCCAGCUCUUGGCUUUGUGAGUCCCCUUUUCUGGUUUAUAAGUCACCAUCUCUCCCACCUGGCAUAUUUCUUGAGGUGUGCUUCAUGGGUGGGAACAGUUCUGUCUGUAUAAAGCUGACUUCAUCCUUCAUUGCAAUUCAGUAAUCUCAAGUCAAUCCUGUAAACUCUGUAGUUUCUUUUGUUUCCAAGUUUGGAGAGGAAGCCUCACUUAAAAUCCUCCAGCCGACAAGUCGAUUUACUAGUUUGUGUAACUUGCUCCGCCCGGUAUUGAGUGGCUUCUCUUGAUUAGGAAAACUUCCCUGGAGUACCAUUUUGUUAUGAACGGUUUGAAUUUGAACAUUCAAAACCCUUGUGGAUAAUUGAAUGAAACAAAAAAAUGUGUAUAUUGGCAUGAAUUAGCCAUUGAAUUUCAGCUUCUCAUUACAUAAGGAAUUAUUAAUAAAGUUUGUUUAUUGACAACCAAA